rnacentral:lncRNA from 1 species
CGCACAAUCUGCUUUCAAAUUGAUUGAGAUCAUCUUGCUGUGCAAUCACUCAAUCUGGAUCCCUUUAAGAGCUUCCGAAUCUUCCUCAAGUUUCACUUCAGAUUGAAACCUAAAGAAACAACAUUCUUUGACAAUAGCUCUCCUAGUCUUCACUUCACCAUUAGGAACAUUUAAGAACUAGAACCCGGGAAUGAUAUUGACUCCAAACCCUUUGUCUAAGCAGAUACGUUCUUUAUAUGUCCUGUUCAUCUUGUGUAGUGUUGAGUUUGACUAGUGGAUCUACCAAAUGCUCCCCCUAAGCUGUUGCUGAGAUUUCUUUAAUAAUCCUUAUCCUUGCAAAGAGAUUCUGCUUGGAUCUGAAUUAUCAUUAUACCAAUAAUAUCACCUUUAACAGCUUGGAGCAAAGUGUCGCUCAACGUCCCAUCCAGACUUA